CUCAUUUCCUCUAUCUCUUUCUC
rnacentral:siRNA from 1 species